UACGGGGGGGGCAAGCGUUGUUCGGAAUUACUGGGCGUAAAGGGCUCGUAGGUGGCCAACUAAGUCAGACGUGAAAUCCCUCGGCUUAACCGGGGAACUGCGUCUGAUACUGGAUGGCUUGAGUUUGGGAGAGGGAUGCGGAAUUCCAGGUGUAGCGGUGAAAUGCGUAGAUAUCUGGAGGAACACCGGUGGCGAAGGCGGCAUCCUGGACCGACACUGACACUGAGGAGCGAAAGCCAGGGGAGCAAACGGG
rnacentral:rRNA from 1 species